CAACGUAGGGGGCGAGGCGUUGUCCGGAUUUAUUUGGGCGUAAAGAGCUCGUAGGCGGCUCAGUAAGUCAGGUGUAAAAACUCCAGGCUCAACCUGGAGACGCCAUCUGAUACUGCUGUGGCUAGAGUCCGGUAGGGGAGCGAUGGAAUUCCUGGUGUAGCGGUGAAAUGCGCAGAUAUCAGGAGGAACACCAGUGGCGAAGGCGGUGCCUCUGGGCCGGAACUGACGCUGAGGAAGCGAAAGCGUGGGGAGCGAACAGG
rnacentral:rRNA from 1 species